CACGAGUCAUAAAAGAGCCAAGGUUGCCUACCCCUGGGUCAAACUAAAGGAAGAGCACGUCUCCAGACGCUGCAGUCUGAAGGCCCAGCCGGACUGCAUCCGAGAAUCACGUGGCGAUCCGAAAGAAGCCUCACAAUAACUUGGCUCUUGCUAUGUGCCACUCAGAAGCUUCAACUGAUUCAGAAAACAGUGGGAUGGGCAGCAGCGGACAUGACUUGCUAUGCUCAACUAACACCCCUGCUCGAAACUUAUAAAUUGCACAUCUUCCAUAGAUGGCAAAAAACUCUCAGGAGGAUCACUCUUACAAUACUGAAGCAACUACAAAAGAAGGGAAAUGAAACACAAUGGAAAGGACUUAUACAACGUUUGAACAUAAGAAUUCAGUUUUUCCUGAUUGCUCCCAUAUAACUAAAUAAUGGAAGAUUAGAUUUCCUUUGGCUCUCACACUUUAAAAGUAUGGGAAAGGCGAUUGGCUGGCACAUUUACAUAACACCAAAGAAUCUUGAAGAAUAUUUUAUUUAAGGUUGUUUUCCUCACUUUGGUUUCCAUUUUUAAACUGAAUAAACAAAUUCUUAAGAUAUCACCCCCAAAAAAGAUCUUUUGGGACAAAAAUAUUAAAAUUGCUAUUUAAAAUGUGUAUCUUUCUCCAUAUUGGUUGCUGUGUAAUUUUUGUUUGCUGUCCUGUGUUACUUUUAUUUUCAACAUUUUGUUGAUAUACUAACUAGAAAGUGGGGGAUUGAAAAAGAAAUAAAUUAUCUCUGGUAUUCCUAUACUAAGCAUUUUGUUGGGAAAAACAGAAAAUAAAAUCACUAGAAAACCUGAUUAAAUUGAGACUUGGUUAUACUGCAGUGAUUCACUUGACAACUGUGGCAAGAAAUGUCGUAAAAUGGAACAAAAUUCACUUAACAAUU